CAACGCACAAACGUCUUCUGUGCGACAACAUCUGAAUGUUUGUCACAGGACUUUUGAGCGUUGCC
rnacentral:pre_miRNA from 1 species